rnacentral:lncRNA from 1 species
GUAAGAACAAAUACAUUUUGAGAAUUUUACAAAAAUCACCACUAUAACUAUGCUGGGUAACAUGAAUUGAAUUUGGAAGUAAUGAAGUGCUUUAUACAAAGUGCAGGUUGACAGACUGCAGUGUUCACUAAGUGACUUGGGGGAGAAGAAGGUAGAACAUUCAUAACUGUGUUCACUACUUUUUCAUUAAUCUAAGACGUAUUGAAAUGUCCUUUGGCUUCUGAUAGUUUGGGAAACACAGAAAGAGGCAGACUGCCUGUCUCAGAUUUACAUAGGAAAGGGUAGACUGCUUUACAGAAGUCUGAUGUGUUGGCAAAAAGGAAGCGUGGAGAUUUCAUGUGUCCUUUUCUUCUCUCUUUCUUUCUCUCUUGCUCUCCCUCUCUCUCUUUUUCUUCUCCCCCAGCUGCUCCAAGGUUCUCCUGAACUGAUUGAGCCCAACAUCUUUACAGCAGAUUGGCGUGCAGUACUUCUCUCAUCAGCUGCAAAUACAUUAGCACCAGAUGAUAGAAAAGGUAUUGUUGGCACUUCUGACAUAGCAGAAGGGAUGACAUAUGAACAGUUACAGGUAAGCUUUAUAUAUAUAUUUAUAUAUAUAUAUAUAUAUGUGUGUGUGUGUGUGUAUUAAUGUAUUUUAUUGCUUUUAAUAAAGGUAAUUUACUGAAAUUAAUUUCUUUUAAUUUGUAGACCGUAAUUGAAGAGAUUCUAGAGGAAAGUGGUUAUUACAAUUUCUCUUCAAACAGGUGAGUCUGAGUGUACAAUUUGAAAAGAAGAAGUUAAUGAAGAUGUGCUAAAAGUUAACAUAUCAUCUACCUGUUUGAAUGAUUGCAAUUUCAGUUGAAAGUUAGUGCGAUGCAUAAUUAUUAUAAUACAUGGAUGCAUGGACUGGAAGAAAUUGGUAUGGUACAUUUAGUUAAUAUAAGCUGUUUUGACCACAUGGCCACAUUUGUUUCCUUCACUCAGACAGUAGAGUGGUAGACGUUUGGCAGCAAUCUCCUUAAUUUUUUGUUGAAUAAAACCAGAGAUGAAGGUAAGUUUGAUUUUAAUAGAAGUAUAUUUUACAGGGCUAAAAGGAUGAAGCUAGCAUAUAUAGUAAAGUGUUUGAGUACAACUCAGAAAGCAGAAAAAGUAGUUGCUAUCACAAAAGUGCAGGGGAUGAAAAAAAAAAAAAAAAUGUUUUUUGAAACUGUGUGUAUGCCUUGUCCUAGAGAUGGUAAGUCUUCGCAGCAAGAACCCUUGGAGGAACACAAGAAACAGAGUACAUGAAAAAUGUCCAUAUAGUCCAGAACAUAAGCUUAGUGUUUCUUGUUCUUUUUACCUGUUAGCUUGUAUUUAUUACCUCAGGUAUUUUUUAGUGAAAAAAAAGUAAAAAAAAAAUUCACUGCUUCUACCAGGUCUUCCUUGUCUUUGCAACAAUCAGCAUUUUAAUGCCUGGGAGACCACCUGGGAGUUAUCUUUUCUAAAAACAACAACAAAAAAAAUGACCAAACAAACCAGAAAAAAAAAAAAAUCCUCUAAAUUCUGAUAUUAAGAGGUUUUAAGACUUUGUAUUUUCUGGUUCUUCACUAAUAUUUUUUCAGUUAUCUGUUAUCUCUGCAUUUUUCUGAAUAUUUUUAUAGAAUACUCACUAAAUUGGAAUUCCAGCUUACAAAUAUCUUACAGCUGCCAGUCGUUAAGUAUUGAAAAAUCAUGAUUCAGAACUCCCAAAAUAAAAUAAUAAUUUGCUCUUUAAACCUUCAGGGUAAAAUUGAAUCAUGUUUACAAAUCACUUUUGCAGCUAUGAGGUCUAACAAAUGUUAGUAUUUAAAUUUUUGUCCUGAUCACAUGCUCCCAAUAUUUGGAGCUGUAAAAAAAAAUCAAAUGUUGUGCAACUUAGAAAAACAAUAUGAAAAAGGCUGUCCUUUUUAACACUAGAUCUAGCAAAUGUACAAAUGUGGUGUGUAGACAUUUAAUUCACGCACUGGCAAAAGCAUCUUAUUGCAAUUUACUUUAAUGAUGCAGAUGUAUAUUGAAUAUGGGCAUGAGUAUUUUGCACAAACUACUAUGAAAAUAAGAAAUCUAUUAAUAAAAAUGUAAAGGACAUUUAAAGAUUACAGAAAAAUAUGUUAGUACUUACAAUGUAUAACACAGGAAUGCCACAUGAGACUAACAGCAGUGCAAUAAUUAACAUUGUUUUUUUUUUUUCUGGUGACAGCAUUUAUUUGGGACUUUGUAUUUUUCCUGCUGUGCCAAAAUUCCCUAUGGAGUUGUUGUUCUUAAGAAUCUUAAGAUAUUUUUGUAUGUUUUGGGAAAUUUUGUUUCAGAGGAGACAAAAAAAUAUUCUUCAUAGCCACAUGGGAUGACAGUGUGGUAUAGGAUGUUUUUUCCCUAUGCCAUAUUUAUCCUAUAGGGGGAAAUAGCAAGUAGUACAUCUUCACAUAUUCAUAAAGGCUGGAGAGGAAGGCCAGUGAAUGCUCAACAUCUUUCUUCACAUUGUGUUUCCCCUGAGUCAUACAACUUCUCCAGUAGUGCUGAUAAUGUGUUAUUCACAGGUGGUGCUGAUUUGUACUUUGUUCAUGGGGCUUGUAGCAAAGCCAAAAUUGAUUUUGGAGUGGGAGAAAGGAAUGAAGUGAAAUCUCCUUAGAAGUUUAGAAGUAUGUUGUCUAAAUUUGAUAUUGUUUGCUUGUUUUUGCUUCUUAUUUACAACUGUUAAUGUGUGCACGUAACAGCUACUGUAGACUUUGACCUACUCCAGUGCAUGUGUGUCAUUCUAGCAUGCCCUAGCUUUAGCUGGCAAAUGCAGAGCAGCCACACCUAAUUGUUGAUCUGUCACCAGCAGCAAUACAUGUUCUUGAUUUUUCACUAUGCUGUUGAAUCGUGUUAUUUGUCAUGAUGCAUAAUUACAUUUGGUUCCCCUGUCACUAUUAUGUUAAUUCUUUUCUGGACAAUGUUUUACUCACAAAUAAAAUAAUAUUUUUCCCUCUCUGAAAAUUGGUACACCAUGCUUUCAUUGUCAGGAACAUCUGUCUCUGUUUCCAGAGGACUUACCAUAUUUUCUAGAAUAUGCUUCACUCAGUGCUAUUUAGAGCUUUCAGAUUUUUUUUUCUUCUCAUACUUUGUCCAAGUAGUCAAGCAGUGCAGUUUCAAUAGCUUUUGAAUUCUUUAUGGUUCAUUUGUCUAGCAGACAUGCUCGGGUUCUUCCCAACAGUUCU